AUCAUUAUCGUGGGGCUUAACCGCCCUGUCGAGAUAGUACCCUUGCCUUUUUGAGUACCCCCGUUUCCUCGGCAGGCUUGCCUGCCAAUGAGGACCUAAACCUAAACAAUUGUACCUGUAACUACGUCUGAUAAACAAAAAGUCACAACUUUCAACAAUGGAUCUCUUGGUUCUGGCAUCGAUGAAGAACGCAGCGAAAUGCGAUAAGUAGUGUGAAUUGCAGAAAUUCCGUGAAUCAUCGAAUCUUUGAACGCACAUUGCGCCCUUUGGUAUUCCUUAGGGCAUGCCUGUUCGAGCGUCAUCUACACCCUCAAGCUCUGCUUGGUGUUGGGUGCCUGUCCCGCCUCCGCGUGUGGACUCACCUCAAAACUAUUGGCGGCCCCUGUGCCGGCCCCGAGCGCAGCAGAAACGCGGUUCGUGGCCUGGUGAAGGGUGCUCCCAGAAGCAACAUUUACCGUUUUGACCUCGAAUCAGGUAGGGAUACCCGCUGAACUUAAGCAUAUCAAUAAGCGGAGGAAAAGAAACCAACAGGGAUUGCCUCAGUAACGGCGAGUGAAGCGGCAAGAGCUCAAAUUUGAAAUCUGGCUCCUUUGGGGUCCGAGUUGUAAUUUACAGAGGGUGCUUUGGCGUUGGCUGUGGUCUAAGUUCCUUGGAACAGGACGUCGCAGAGGGUGAGAAUCCCGUAUGUGGCCGCCAGCCUUCGCCGUGUAAAGCCCCUUCGAAGAGUCGAGUUGUUUGGGAAUGCAGCUCUAAUUGGGAGGUAAAUUUCUUCUAAAGCUAAAUACUGGCCAGAGACCGAUAGCGCACAAGUAGAGUGAUCGAAAGAUGAAAAGCACUUUGGAAAGAGAGUCAAAAAGCACGUGAAAUUGUUGAAAGGGAAGCGCUUGCAGCCAGACUUGCCUGUAGUUGCUCAUCCGGGCUCACGCCUGGUGCACUCUUCUACAGGCAGGCCAGCAUCAGCCCGGGCGGUCGCAUAAAUGUCUAUCAAAUGUACCUCUCUUCGGGGAGGACUUAUAGGGGUAGGCGGCAUACGACCAGCCUGGGCUGAGGUCCGCG
rnacentral:rRNA from 1 species